GGAUGAUUUAGAGAGAGAAAAAUGGAGAGAGCGAGCGGACGAGAGAGUGAAUCAUAAAAGAAAUUUAGGGGAGAAGGUUCUGAGUGCCAGAAGACGCCUGGACACAGAAAAGCCGGUGCAGAAGGAAAGAGAGAGACAGGUGGAGAGAGCCUGCCUGGGAGAGACCCCGGGAACGAGAGACAGAGGGAGACUGAGGAGGCAUCAGAAGGAAGCUGGAGGAAAACAGGAGAGGGGCCAGGCUCCGAUGGAUGAAGGAGGGAGAGGGACGCAGCUGUGCACAAUAACGGUAACCGACAUAAAUUGAACGCUAAAUAUUACGGACUCAAAGUCGUUUGCAGGCAUCGACUUGGUCCUCCAGCUUCUGCGGUUAGCCCCCAUUUUCAAGAUGUGUAAACUGAGACAGAGAGUCAGAGAGAUUCAGAGCAAGGGAUUCUCCUGCUGUCCUGCAGGAGCAAACCCAAACCACCCUGCUCCAGAGAGGGCCAUCUGAGGAUGGCAUCUGCUACCAAGAGGCACAGAAACGUCAGUCGUGUGACCACAAGGAAAUGCUUCCUAUCUCCCGAGGGAGCUUGGGAGUGGGUCUCUCCCUAACUGAACUGCCAGAUGAGGACAGGGCCAGUUGGCAUCCUGACUGCAGCCUUGGGAGACCCUGAGCAGAAGACCUCCCUGCACUGUGCCAGGUUCCUGAGCCGUGGAAAGUGUCAGAUAAGAAAUAGAUGCUGCUUUAAGCCGCAGCCUUUGUGUUUUUUGUUACGCGGCAACGGGUAACUGACUCUGUAAAGCAGGCUGCACUGUGAAGGUCGCUAUGGAUGCUCAGCCAGUGUUGCGUUAAUGCCCCCUCUCCAAAACUCCCUGGCCAUCACUCCCAACAACCAGCCAGUCCCCGUGUGCAGGGCCCUCUCCUCCCUGGAUUCCAGCCUUGUCUUAUGCCAUCGUCACAACUGCCUCCCACAAACAGAGUGGAUUCCCCUACUCUGCCCAGCUCCUUAGCACUUUGGAGGUUCCUGAGCGUGGCUCCCCGGCCUGGAAUCUCCUUCCAUCUCCUUCCACCUACUGGAAUCUUCUUCCAUCUCCAACAUGAAGGUUCAACUGAAAUGCUUCUUCCUCCAGGAAGCCUUCCCUGACUUCCCAAGGCUGCAUCAGAGGAGACAGCUGUACCUCGCCCUGUAGUGCCCCCCAUUAAAGCACAGUCACUCUGCAUUGUGAUUGGCUUGUCGGUCUGUCCCCCACCCUCCAGUAGAGCCAGGGACUGUUCAAGACAGGCACGGGGCUGGUUCACUUCCAUAUCCCCAGUGCCCAGUUUGGUUUUGGUAGACCGGAAGUCUCAGUCUGCAGGUGCUGAAUGGAUGGACAGACAGAUGGAUGGAGGAAGGAGCAAAAGACUCCGGGAACGAGUGGAUACAUAUUCUAGAGUCCUCCGGCAGCCAAUUACAACCUCCCAUCCCUGUCCGACCCCUCUCCCCGCCUCAUAUCCUGAGUGAGCGUUCUCCCAGGUGCUUGAGCAUAUCUGGUCAACAACAGCUGGGGCCUUUGUGUUUUCUCAAGAGGAACAGAGUGGUGGUGGCAUGUUUUCCCGCUGUACCAGGAAGAGAAGAUCAGCGUUUCUCAAACGUCCUCAUUCAGGGUGAAGUGGAAAUAUUCCAGUGCUGAGGAAUCAGGUGGCCUGAGUUCCAAUCCUUGCUUUUCCUUGCCUCCCUGAGGGACCCCGAAUCAAAUACUGUGCUCUGGGCACUUUAUCUGCUUGUCUGUAAAGGUGGGGAGGGGAUGAGGGAAGUGAUCUCAUGGCAGAUGGGAGGUCCUGGGACCAUGAUUCAAAAUCACACAUCCUGGGAAUUCUGGCAGGGUUUUUAGGGUGUCUGUGAAGCUCUGGAAAUUGCUGAUGAAAUUGUGUGAAUGUGGGUGCUCUUUUCUGGGGGUCCUCAGCGUUUCUCCGGUUCCCAAAGGGACCUUGAGUCCCCUACAAGAGUCACUGCCUAUUGACAGAUUUAGCAAAAUCUCACUUGUGUCAAUAAAAAUUGUGAAAAAGCAA